AAAAGCUCUGAGCUGCUUUGAGAAUGACAUCCUGGAGUCCUUCAUCUAAAGGAUGCCACAUUGGGGAUAAACAACCUCAAGGGCUAGGACACUGG
rnacentral:lncRNA from 12 species